UCAGUGGUACAUGAUGACUUCAUCUUUUUUCCCCAUCUUAUCGGAAAUGCUGAUCAAAUCUGUGUUCUAGCCAGAUGGUCUGAUUCCACUGA